rnacentral:rRNA from 1 species
UGGGGAGCAUCAGGCUAAUGAGUUCGAUCAUGGCUCAGAUUGAACGCUGGCGGGAUGCUUUACACAUGCAAGUCGAACGGCAGCACGGACUUCGGUCUGGUGGCGAGUGGCGAACGGGUGAGUAAUGUAUCGGAACGUGCCUAGUAGCCAGGGAUAACUACGCGAAAGCGUAUUCAUACCAUAUACGCCCUUCGGGGAAAGCGGGGGACCUUCCGGGCCUCGCACUAUUAGAGCGGCCGAUAUCGGAUUAGCUAGUUGGUGGGUAACGGCUCACCAAGGCGACGAUCCGUAGCUGGUUUGAGAGGACGACCAGCCACACUGGGACUGAGACGGCCCCAGACUCCUACGGGAGGCAGCAGUAGGGAAUUUUGGACAAUGGGGAAACCUGAUCCAGCCCCACGUGUGCGAUGAAGGCCUUCGGGUUAUGCGCUACUUUUUUGGCAGGAAAAACGCUGCAGGAUAAUACCCCGUGCAACUGACAGUACCUGCAGAAUGGCACACCGGCUAACUACGUGCCAGCGACACUGAUAAUACGUAGGGUGCAAGCGUUAAUCGGAAUUACUGGGCGUAAAGCGUGCGCGAGCGGUUCGGAAGAAAGAUGUGAAAUCCCAGAGCUUAACUUUGGAACUGCAUUUUUAACUACCGAGCUAGAGUGUGUCAGAGGGAGGUGGAAUUCCGCGUGUAGCAGUGAAAUGCGUAGAUAUGCGGGAACGCGAUGUGGCGAAGGCAGCCUCCUGGGAUAACACUGACGCUCAUGCGAAAGCGUGGGAGCAAACAGGAUUAGAUACCCUGGUAGUCCACGCCCUAACAGAUAUCAACUCAACUGUUGGGGCCUUCGGGCCUUGGUAGCGCAGCUAACGCGUGAAGUUGACCGCCUGGGAAGAAUUACGGUCGCAAAGAUUAAAACUCAAAGGAAUUGACGGGGACCCGCGAAGCUGAUGGAUGGCGGAUUCAAUUCGAUGGCAGCGAAAAACCUUACCUACCCAUGACAUGUCUGGAAUCGAAGAGAUUUGGGAGUGCUCGCAAAGAGAACCGGAACACAGGUGCUGCAUGGCUGUCGUCAGCUCGUGUCGUGAGAUGUUGGGUUAAGUCCCGCAACGAGCGCAACCCUUGUCAUUAGUUGCUACGAAAGGGCGCUCUAAUGAGACUGCCGGUGACAAACCGGAGGAAGGUGGGGAUGACGUCAAGUCCUCACUGGCCAUAUGGGUAGAGACUUCACACGUCUACAAUGGUCGGGACAGAGGGUCGCCAACCCGCGAGGAGCCAAUCCCAGAAACCCGAUCUAUUAGUCGGAUCGCAGUCUGCAACUCGACUGCGUGAAGUCCGGAAUCGCUAGUAAUCGCGGAUCAGCAUGUCGCGGUGAAUACGUUCGGGUCUUGUACACACCGCCCGUCCGCACCAUGGGAAUUAGGUUUUACCAGAAGUAGUUAGCCUAACCGUAAGGAGGGCGAUUACCACGGUAGGAUUCAUGACUGAGGUCAAGUCGUAACAAGGUAA